GCUGAAAGUGUUCAUCUGUCAGAUGUCAGAGGAGGAAUUACAACUUCAUUUUACUUAUGAAGAAAAAUCUCCUGGCAAUUACAACACAUCCAGGAACAGUACUUUGCAUCUUUCAAUCCGAUCAAGUUGACACUCGAUAUUAACCAUCACAGUAUCUCAGGUUCUGACUCAGAAGAUCUUUUGGAAGAAUUGCUGUGCUGUUUGAUGCAGUUGAUCACUGAUAUUCCACUCUUAGAUAUUACAUAUGAAAUAUCAGUAGAAGCUAUAUCAACAAUGGUUGUUUUCCUUUCCUGCCAACUCUUCCACAAAGAAGUUUUGCGACAGAGCAUCAGCCACAAGUAUUUGAUGCGAGGUCCAUGUCUUCCAUACACCAGCAAACUUGUGAAGACCUUAUUAUAUAACUUUAUCAGACAAGAAAAGCCACCUCCUCCAGGGGCCCAUGUUUUCCCUCAGCAGUCGGAUGGGGGAGGACUGCUUUAUGGACUUGCAUCAGGAGUAGCAAAUUUGAAGGGAAGACUGAUGGCCUCUUUCAUGCUACAAAUAGUUGAAGAAUGAAUUAGUUUGUAUUUACAAGGAGGAAUAUAGAAUAAAGCAAUCAAUUGCAGAUGAAAUCCUGGGAUAAGUUUCUGAGACUUGCUACAAGUGCCAUUUAUUUGGUGCUAAUGAUUUAAUCUAUUUUUGAGACUGAGUUGUAAAUUGUAGAAUUUAAAAAUAUUUAAAAGUGAGAAUAUUAAAAUUGAAAUUAUGGAAUUCUA
rnacentral:lncRNA from 10 species